GUUGAGAAUAAUUGUAUGGUAUUGAAAAGGUUCAAGUUUGGGCUUGUUGGGGGAAAUUGAAAGGCAAAAGAAAGGCAUUGAGCUGAAGUGUUGAAUGAAAGAGAAAAAAAAAGUAUGAGAAAAGAAAAAGCAUGAAAGAUGAACUCAAUGUAAAAUUAAAAGAAAAGGGAAGAAGUUGGGAAUGAGUGAAAUUGGUUAAAGAGAGAGUUUGUGCUUGAACUUUGAAUGUUAAAAUAGCUCUCUUAACUCAAGGAUUUUGUGUUCCAAAAAACUCAAUUUUUCUUGUUAGCCCACCCUCAUUAUAAGGCUUAGAAAAAGUCCUUGUGAUGGCAUUUGUAUGUAAGAAUGUUGAUUGUAUUAGAUGAAGGACAAUUUUGUUUCAGGUGACAUGUGAAUAGUAGAGAAUUGGAGUGCCCUCUUAAACACUUGAGUGAUUGAGUGAAACACUUGCUUGAAGAGAAUUGAUAAGUUCUAUGUUUACAUCUAUGCUUAGUUGAUUGAUCAUUCACAAGUAAAACAUCUGUUGGAAAAUAUUUGAUCAUGUGAACUGAAUUG
rnacentral:lncRNA from 1 species